rnacentral:rRNA from 1 species
AUAUUGGACUAUGGGGGCAACCCUGACCCAGCCAUGCCGCGUGUGUGAAGAAGGUCUGCGGAUUGUAAAGCACUUUAAGUUGGGAGGAAGGGGUUUAGGUUAAUACCCUGAAGUUUUGACGUUACCAAAAGAAUAAGCACCGGCCAACCCUGAGCAAUCAGCCGCGGUAAUACAGAGGGUGCAAGCGUUAAUCGGGAGUAUUGGGGGUAAAGCGCGCGUAGGUGGUUCAGUUAGAUGGGUGUGAAAUCCCCGGGCUUAACCUGGGAACUGCUUUCAUAACUGCUGGGCUAGAGUACGGUAGAGGGUAGUGGAAUUUCCUGUGUAGCGGUGAAAUGCGUAGAUAUAGGAAGGAACACAAGUGGCGAAGGCGACUACCUGGACUGAUACUAACACUGAGGUGCGAAAGCGUGGGGAGCAAAC